rnacentral:rRNA from 1 species
AACGAACGCUGGCGGCAUGCCUAACACAUGCAAGUCGAACGAAGCCUUCGGGCUUAGUGGCGCACGGGUGCGUAACGCGUGGGAAUCUGCCCUUUGGUUCGGAAUAACAGUUGGAAACGACUGCUAAUACCGGAUGAUGACGAAAGUCCAAAGAUUUAUCGCCAGAGGAUGAGCCCGCGUAGGAUUAGCUAGUUGGUGUGGUAAAGGCGCACCAAGGCGACGAUCCCUAGCUGGUCUGAGAGGAUGAUCAGCCACACUGGGACUGAGACACGGCCCAGACUCCUACGGGAGGCAGCAGUGGGGAAUAUUGGACAAUGGGCGAAAGCCUGAUCCAGCAAUGCCGCGUGAGUGAUGAAGGCCCUAGGGUUGUAAAGCUCUUUUACCCGGGAUGAUAAUGACAGUACCGGGAGAAUAAGCCCCGGCUAACUCCGUGCCAGCAGCCGCAGUAACAC